AGCUCAGUUGGUAGAGCAUGGUGUGUGCAACGCCAGGGUUGUGGGUUCGAUUCCCAC
rfam:Salmo salar isolate Sally breed double haploid chromosome ssa18, whole genome shotgun sequence.